rnacentral:rRNA from 1 species
GUCGGAUUUCGGGGCGGCUUCGUCGGUCUGCCGAUGGGUAUGCACUGACGCGGGCGUCCUUCCUUCCGGAGACGCGUCCUACUCUUAGCUGAGCGGGGCGUGGAGACGGAUCGUUUACUUUGAAAAAAUCAGAGUGUUUCAAGCAGGCAUCAUCGCUCUUGCAUGGAUUAGCAUGGGAUAAUGAGAUAGGACCUUGGUGCUAUUUUGUUGGUUUCGAGCACCGAAGUAAUGAUUAACAGGGACAGUCAGGGGCACUCGUAUUCCGCCGAGAGAGGUGAAAUUCUCAGACCAGCGGAAGACGAACCACUGCGAAAGCAUUUGCCAGGGAUGUUUUCACUGAUCAAGAACGAAAGUUAGGGGAUCGAAGACGAUCAGAUACCGUCGUAGUCUUAACCAUAAACCAUGCCGACUAGGGAUUGGAGGAUGUCCACUUUUGACUUCUUCAGCACCUUACGGGAAACUAAAGUCUUUGGGUUCCNGGGGGAGUAUGGNCGCAAGGCUGAAACUUAAAGGAAUUG